AAUGAAUCUCCACUCCAGACUUCCUCUCUUCAGUCCUAUUGGGUGCAGAUUGCUUCCCUCAGCCUUUUCUGGUAAAUACUGCUCUGCUACACAAGAAAGUCAAGGGACUGAGAGUAAAGCCAGAUGCACAAAGAUUGAGCAUACACAUGUGAAGCAGUCUUGGUCUUAUCUCUACAGAAUAUACUUCUCUGAAUGUUUUGAAGUGUGCAUAAUUCAGUUUCACACAGACAUUGGUGCUCCGUAUCUGAGGACGAUGUUCUUUUGGCAGCUGGAAAAGUCAUGGAAAGAACCCGUCAACACUAUUUUGUCGGAUCCCAAAUUGACGAAAGUUGUAAAAUUUGUGGAUAUUUUGAAAGAAUGCCCAACGGGACUGUUAGGACUCUUCUGAAAUGUGCUUCAAGUCAAAUAGAGAAAUCAAAGUCAAGCAUG
ensembl:lincRNA